GAAAUGCGAUAAGUAAUGUGAAUUGCAGAAUUCAGUGAAUCAUCGAAUCUUUGAACGCACCUUGCGCCCUUUGGCCAUUCCGAAGGGCAUGCCUGUUUGAGUAUCAUGAACACCUCAACUCUUCAUGGUUUUCCAUGACGAGUUUGGACUUUGGGGGGUUUUGCUGGCCUACGGUCGGCUCCUCUGAAAUAAAUCAGCUUGCCAGUUUUUGGUGGGUAUCAUAGGUGUGAUAACUAUCUACGCUUGUGGUUCUUCCAUCAGGUAACCUUCAGCAGUGGAGGUUCACUGGAGCUCACAGAUGUCUCUCCUCAGUGAGGACAGCCCUUUGAAUGUUUGAUCUCAAAUCAGGUAGGACUACCCGCUGAACUUAAGCAUAUCAAUAAGCGGAGGAAAAGAAACUAACAAGGAUUCCCCUAGU
rnacentral:rRNA from 1 species